rnacentral:lncRNA from 1 species
AUAAUAGAAAAAAGGGAGAAAAAGCCUCUUUCCAAUGACAGUGCUUGCUUGCUUUUACUCUGCAUGCCUAACCACCACACUUAUACAUUUAUUUUUUAUGGUAAUGUAAUCGUAUGAUUUGUGCUUUCGUGAAGGCUGCUUUUUCGGUUAAUUUUAUGUUAGUGGACUUUUAUGUCAAAUAUAAGUCUAUACCGUCAUUGCUGUUGAAUAGCAUUUUACUGUUCAGAUCUAGUACAAUUUAAAAAUCCCUUUUUACUGGGUUGCUUUCAGUUUCUAACAGUUCACACACAUGCACAUACAUACACACACAAGUUCAUACUGCUCAAAUGUAAGUACAUGCAUUAUACGUGCCAUAUCUUAGCUUCCUCUACCUCUUAGAUUAUUUCCUGAAAAUUAAUACUAAGAAGGGAGAGUCCCGUCAAUCUACAUCAUUAAAGUUUUCUGUGUGCUGUUACGUUUUUACUGAAGUAUAUCCAUUCAUGUUCCCAUGGCAGUAUUUCUGAAAGGCUGGUACCAUCUCUCCAAGCUGACAUUGGAUAUUGCUAUUUAAACAUAUUUGAAUUAAGCGGUGAGAUUCUUUCUUCCCAAACAGGCCUCCUGCUUUAUCACCUCCCUCUCACUCAACUACACUUACUAAAACCUGACAGGUUGCUAAAGAGCGUCACAGCUCUUGACACAGAAGGAAGUGAGAGACUGGAGGCACUUCGUCUUUUACAAGCUUUCCCUCUACUUUAGAUUAAAAUUAAACCAAACGGGAGAAAAAAUAAAAUGAACUGAUCUAAGUUAUCAUCAUAUGCGAAGGAAAAGAAGAUUAAUAUUACUCAUUUCUGCACCUCCCUUAAAGUUUUGUAUAUAAAAGAGGUGAAAGCAUUGAAUUGAACGUUUUGCCAUUUAUAAACCCAAACGUAUUGUAUGCCAUUCUUUAUUAUCUUUUUGCAUGACAUUUUUCCAGGGAAAAUGUGUGUCACUCUUUUAUUCCCACAUCUCAUUCUUGAUUUACUUCCUCUGUGUUCGUUUUGGUUAUUUUCAGUCUACUCCUUCAAUAGCUAUUUAAAGAAUACAUAUGUUUUUAAUGUGGUAAGUUAAUACAGUUUUCUUUGGGGCAGAGUGUGAGUUUCAUCUGCUUCCUUUUGCCUUUACACAAAUCCUUUUAUAAAGUUUGUCUCAAAAAGUAGAUUCUUGAAGCGCUGCAAGCAGAAUGGCCGACCAGGGAAGCUGCGAACUUCUUGUUCUACGCGAUCACUGACAAGAGAAGCAGGACCACCUUUGUGGGGGCCACUUUCGGAGGCCAAGGUGGGCGGAUCACGAAGUUGGGAGAUGGAGACCAUCUUGGCUAACACG